rnacentral:rRNA from 1 species
UACAGAGGGGGCAAGCGUUAUUCGGAAUUAUUGGGCGUAAAGGGCGCGUAGGCGGCUUUGCAAGUGACGGGUGAAAGCCCUCGGCUUAACCGAGGAACUGCCUGUCAGACUGUAAGGCUUGAGACCGGGAGAGGUGAGUGGAAUUCCCAGUGUAGCGGUGAAAUGCGUAGAUAUCAGGAGGAACACCGGUGGCGAAGGCGGGUCUCUGGGCCGAUACUGACGCUGAGGAGCGAAAGCGUGGGGAGCGAACAGG